rnacentral:rRNA from 1 species
UGACGGUACCCCUUGAAUAAGCACCGGCUAACUCCGUGCCAGCAGCCGCGGUAAUACGGAGGGUGCGAGCGUUAAUCGGAAUUACUGGGCGUAAAGCGUGCGCAGGCGGUUUUGUAAGACAGGCGUGAAAUCCCCGGGCUUAACCUGGGAAUGGCGUUUGUGACUGCAAAGCUGGAGUGCGGCAGAGGGGGAUGGAAUUCCGC